UUGACCAAAGUCAACCUUCUAACCAAAAACCAUUUCUUAAUCAUUUUCAUAUUUUUAGUCCAUUUCUAAUCAUCAUAUUUUUAAACCCAUUCAUAAUCACAUUUCAACCCAUUUCAAAUCCAAUCCAAUAACCAUUUCAUUUUCAACAUCCAAUCUUUGAUCCACUUAUCCAAUCCAUACCCAACUUCUAUUACCAUAAAACCAAUUAUCCAUAUCAUAUAUCCAUUCAUAU
rnacentral:lncRNA from 1 species